CUUAAUUAAAGUCAGGUCCAUGUUAUAUACUGUGAUAUUCCCAUUGCUCAGCAAUGAAUCCACCACCUUCUCUCAAGAAAUGGUGCUGAGAUUAACAAAAAGCAGAGAAUCAGAAAGCCUAUGGUAAGAAAAACUCAAAUGAAUUAUCAAGGCCAAUAGCAAAUAACACUGGAUUACAUUAAAAAUGGAAAACUAUCCAAAUUAAUUCAUGUAUAUGGUUCACCAUGAAACAGGUAAGAAACUGGCUCAUGACAUUCAUUUUUUCCCCCAUUUUCUAAGUUGCUGG
rnacentral:lncRNA from 1 species